rnacentral:tRNA from 1 species
GGAGAGGUGGCCGAGUGGCCGAAGGCAGUUGCCUGCUAAGCAAUUGGCGGGGUAACACUCGCCCCUGGGUUCGAAUCCCAGCCUCUCCG